GACGAACGCUGGCGGCGUGCUUAACACAUGCAAGUCGAACGGAAAGGCCCUGCUUUUGUGGGGUGCUCGAGUGGCGAACGGGUGAGUAACACGUGAGUAACCUGCCCUUGACUUUGGGAUAACUUCAGGAAACUGGGGCUAAUACCGGAUAGGAGCUCCUGCUGCAUGGUGGGGGUUGGAAAGUUUCGGCGGUUGGGGAUGGACUGGCGGCUUAUCAGCUUGUUGGUGGGGUAGUGGCUUACCAAGGCUUUGACGGGUAGCCGGCCUGAGAGGGUGACCGGCCUCAUUGGGCCUGGGAUGCGGCCCAGACUCCUACGGGAGGCAGCAGUGGGGAAUAUUGCACAAUGGGCGGAAGCCUGAUGCAGCAACGCCGCGUGCGGGAUGACGGCCUUCGGGUUGUAAACCGCUUUCGCCUGUGACGAAGCGUGAGUGACGGUAAUGGGUAAAGAAGCACCGGCUAACUACGUG
rnacentral:rRNA from 1 species